rnacentral:rRNA from 1 species
CCUACGGGAGGCAGCAGUGGGGAAUAUUGCACAAUGGGGGAAACCCUGAUGCAGCGACGCCGCGUGAAGGAAGGAGUAUUUCGGUAUGUAAACUUCUAUCAGCAGGGAAGAAAAUGACGGUACCUGACUAAGAAGCCCCGGCUAACUACGUGCCAGCAGCCGCGGUAAUACGGAGGGGGCAAGCGUUAUCCGGAUUUACUGGGUGUAAGGGGAGCGUAGGCGGUGAUGCAAGUCAGAGGUGAAAGCCCGCAGCUCAACUGCGGGACUGCAUUUGAAACUGUAUGACUAGAUUGCAGGAGAGGGAAGUGGAAUUCCUGGUGUAGCGGUGAAAUGCGUAGAUAUUAGGAGGAACACCAGUGGCGAAGGCGGCUUACUGGACUGUAAAUGACGCUGAGGCUCGAAAGCGUGGGGAGCAAACAGGAUUAGAUACCCCUGUAGUC